ACGCUCGACACCUACGGGAGCAGCAGUGGGGAAUAUUGCACAAUGGGGGAAACCCUGAUGCAGCAACGCCGCGUGAAGGAAGAAGGUUUUCGGAUCGUAAACUUCUAUCAAUAGGGAAGAAAGGAAAUGACGGUACCUAAAUAAGAAGCCCCGGCUAAACUACCGUGCCGGCAGGCGCGGUAAUCUGAGCGGGCUGGCAAGGC
rnacentral:rRNA from 1 species